GACGAACGCUGGCGGCGUGCUUAACACAUGCAAGUGGAGCGACGAACCGGGCUUCGGCCCGGGGCAAAGCCGCGAACGGGUGAGUAACACGUGGGUAACCCACCCCGAUGACCGGGACAACCCGAGGAAACUCGGGCUAAUACCGGAUGAGCUCUUCACCCUUGAGGGAGAAGAGGAAAGAUAGCUUCGGCCUUCGCAUCGGGACGGGCCCGCGGCGCAUUAGCUUGUUGGUGGGGUAACGGCCUACCAAGGCGACGAUGCGUAGCUGGUCUGAGAGGACGAUCAGCCACACUGGGACUGAGACACGGCCCAGACUCCUACGGGAGGCAGCAGUGGGGAAUCUUGCACAAUGCGCGAAAGCGUGAUGCAGCAACGCCGCGUGGGGGAAGACGGCCUUCGGGUUGUAAACCCCGUUUCACGUUGGGACGAAGACUUCGCCGGUUAAUAGCCGGCUGGAGUGACGGUA
rnacentral:rRNA from 1 species